rnacentral:rRNA from 1 species
CAGCAGCCGCGGUAAUACGUAGGGCGCAAGCGUUGUCCGGAUUCAUUGGGCGUAAAGGGCUCGUAGGCGGUUUGGUAAGUCGGGUGUGAAAACUCAGGGCUCAACUCUGAGACGCCACUCGAUACUGCCAUGACUAGAGUCCGGUAGAGGAGUGUAGAAUUCCUGGUGUAGCGGUGAAAUGCGCAGAUAUCAGGAGGAAUACCGAUAGCGAAGGCAGCACUCUGGGCCGGUACUGACGCUGAGGAGCGAAAGCGUGGGGAGCAAACAGGAUUAGAUACCCUGGUAGUCCACGCCGUAAACGUUGGGUACUAGGCGUGGCGUCUUAUCAACGGAUGCCGUGCUCGAAGCUAACGCGUUAAGUACCCCGCCUGGGGAGUACGGCCGCAAGGCUAAAACUCAAAGGAAUUGACGGGAGCCCGCACAAGCGGCGGAGCAUGCGGCUUAAUUCGAUGCAACCCGAAGAACCUUACCUGGGCUUGACAUCACGGGAAAAACCCUGGAAACAGGGUGUGCGAGAGCGUCCGUGACAGGUGGUGCAUGGUUGUCGUCAGCUCGUGUCGUGAGAUGUUGGGUUAAGUCCCGCAACGAGCGCAACCCCUGUGCUAUGUUGCCAGCACGUAAAGGUGGGGACUCAUAGGAGACUGCCGGGGAUAACUCGGAGGAAGGUGGGGACGACGUCAAAUCAUCAUGCCCCUUAUGCCCAGGGCUGCACGCAUGCUACAAUGGUCGGUACAACGGGUCGCGAUCCUGCAAAGGGGAGCCAAUCCCUCAAAGCCGGCCUCAGUUCGGAUUGGAGUCUGCAACUCGACUCCAUGAAGUCGGAGUCGCUAGUAAUCGCAAAUCAGCAAAGUUGCGGUGAAUACGUUCUCGGGCUUUGUACACACCGCCCGU